UGUCGAUCCAGACCAACUUUUUAUGAAAGAUAUGGGGCUUAGAAAUGGUUUAAUACCAAUUUAUUAUUUUUUUUUUCUAUGGCAUAACUUUUUUUUAAAGAAUUUAAAGAAAACUGUUAUUUUUUACACGACUCAAGUAUCUUAAAUCUGGUUGUAAUAAACUUAGUCAAUCUUAAGAUCUAAUUAAUGCAUCUAUAAAGGUUACCCAAACACUUUAUGGUUUUAGCUUACCGUUUGAAAAAUAUUGAGCUUUGACAUGCAAAAAUGGUUAUUUUAGUGAGUUAUUUUUUCAAAAAAUGUUGAUUUUAAAAACUCGGGAAAAGUCGAGAAGAAGUUAAAUCCUGUCUCCACUAUUUUUACACCCGGUACUCGAAGAGUAAAAGGGCAGUGUCUAAACCCACCCCGUCCCGCAGCUUAUAUUUGUUUUUUUUUCACAUUCACUCAUUCACACUCUGCUGCUACUUCACUCGGCCCCUGCCUCUGCCCUCCCUCUGCCAUUGCCUCUACCGACUUUUAACCCACACCUUCCCGCAGCUUAUAUUUGUUUUUUUUUUUUGUGUGCGGUCGCUGCCUCUGCCUCUGCCGAGAGUCUGCAGUAUGUGGGUCUAGGGAAGGGCGGCGAGCUUACACGCUCGUGUUGGUGUGAGAAGUGUUGUACAUGUAGAUGACAGAUGAAGAAAAAAUGUUACAUUUGAUAAAUAACCGCUAAGCCACAGAUGUAGUACUGAGUGCUGGGUAUAAAAGUUGUGACGCGUAAGAAGCGUCUCACACGUCCCUUCUCGUUUGUCCAGCAUCGCCGUAAAAGCUAUUAUUUAGCAUGUUAUUUGUUUUAAGCAUUAUAUCUUGUUAUGGACGGCUUUCUGAGGAGCCGAUAACCGACAGGGCUGGAGAAGAAGACCAGACAGCGGCCUCUGCUGUGGAUCCGAGGAGGCUGAAAAAGGGUUGCAAGGUGACAGGAAGAAUAGAAGGGAACGUGGCCGUGAAGGUUGUAUUGAGAGGGUCAGUUUCCGGGAAAAAUUACAAGAGGUCGGUCGGCAACCCAAAGUAAAAGUAAGAAAAAAAGGAAAAAACAUAAAAUCAGUGCCCAGGCCCGUGCAAAAGAUAACAAAACGAAACCGACAAUCGUGAAGCGAGGCGACGACGGCGCUGGAAGGAGAAGACGGCAGCAGCGGACACCACGCAGAGAGCCGACAGCAGGGUCAGCGCCAAGACUGGCCCGGCCGGAGCACCUCGGGAGGAUCAGAGUGCCCAAGCCAAGGGAACCCCCGCACAACGCACCGGCGCCCCGCACACCGCAGCGGUACAGCGCACCACCCAUCACACACCCAUCACAUACUCACCACGCACCGGCGCCCCGCACACCGCAGCGGCACAGCGCAUCGCACAUCACACUCAUCACACACACAUCACACCCUCUAAAACCACGUAUUUAUGUAGAAAUAACCACCCAUAUUAACCCUAUUAUUACAAUGAUAUACCGAAAAUAAGCCCCAUCACACAUACAUCAUACCCACUCAUACCCACUGCAACCUCAUUCGCACUUAGUAUAUUCUUUCCCGGAACAAUUAAUCAAUUCACACUUAGCACAGAUAAUUUAGUUGGACUUGAUAGUUCAAAACACAAGUCGUCACAUAAAAUAAAAUAAAAUACAAAAAAGAACAACAACCAAAAAUAUGUUAGAAUACGUUUUCGUAUAGGUCCGUUUAAUUAAUCCAUGUAAGCGGAGUCUAUUUUCCCCCCCGAAUACCACCCCCUUUUCCCAACUUAUACAUAUCAUGCAAUAACUACUAACAAGAGCUUUUUUUUUUUUUUUUUUUGAGGUUUUAAGUUACCGCUCUACCCUUAGGUAGAGGGGAAUUAUUUGGCCACCCGCCUUUACAAGGGGGAAAUCGCCACGUCGUAAUAUGUAACUUGUUACAGCUUUGCUCCAAUACUUAACUGGCGUAGAGGUUAUGUUCCCCACAAGAGCUCUUUUUUUAUUUUUUUUUUCUUUUGAGGUUUUAAGUUACCGCUCUACCCUUGGGCAGAGGGGAAUUAUUUGGCCACCCGCCUUUACAAGGGGGAAAUCGCCACGUCGUAAUAUGUAACUUGUUACAGCUUUGCUCCAAUACUUAACUGGCGUAGAGGUUAUGUUCCCCACAAGAGCUCUUUUUAGUUUAAGUUAAUCAUUUAAAUUUGCAUACCACUUUCAGCU
rnacentral:lncRNA from 1 species